UUGGAAGGGCAAGUCUGGUGCCAGCAGCCGCGGUAAUUCCAGCUCCAGUAGCGUAUAUUAAAGUUGUUGCAGUUAAAAAGCUCGUAGUUGAAUCUCGGGGUCAAUGUUUCGGUCAUGCCGUUGGUAUGUACUGAUAUUAUUGGUUUCUCACCUUCUAAAGAACCGUAAUGCCAUUAAUUUGGUGUCACGGGGAAUUAGGACUGUUACCUUGAAAAAAUUAGAGUGUUUAAAGCAGGCUCACGCUUGAAUACAUUAGCAUGGAAUAAUGAAAUAGGACAUCCGAUUCUAUUUUGUUGGUUUCUAGGAUCGAUGUAAUGAUUAAUAGGGAUAGUUGGGGGCAUUAGUAUUCAAUUGUCAGAGGUGAAAUUCUUGGAUUUAUUGAAGACUAACUACUGCGAAAGCAUUUGCCAAGGAUGUUUUCAUUAAUCAAGAACGAAAGUUAGGGGAUCGAAGACGAUCAGAUACCGUCGUAGUCUUAACCAUAAACUAUGCCGACUAGGGAUCGGAUGAUGUUAAUUUUUUAAUGACUCAUUCGGCGCCUUACGGGAAACCAAAGUGUUUGGGUUC
rnacentral:rRNA from 1 species